rnacentral:rRNA from 1 species
UACGGAGGGGGCCAGCGUUGUUCGGAAUUAUUGGGCGUAAAGGGCGCGUAGGCGGCCGAAUAAGUCUGAUGUGAAAGCCCACGGCUCAACCGUGGAGGGUCAUUGGAAACUGGAGGACUUGAGUACAGAAGAGGAAAGCGGAAUUCCACGUGUAGCGGUGAAAUGCGUAGAGAUGUGGAGGAACACCAGUGGCGAAGGCGGCUUUCUGGUCUGUAACUGACGCUGAGGCGCGAAAGCGUGGGGAGCAAACAGG